UACGUAGGUGGCAAGCGUUGUCCGGAUUUACUGGGUGUAAAGGGCGUGUAGCCGGGCUGACAAGUCAGAUGUGAAAUUCCGGGGCUCAACCCCGGACCUGCAUUUGAAACUGUUGGUCUUGAGUACCGGAGAGGCAGGCGGAAUUCCUAGUGUAGCGGUGAAAUGCGUAGAUAUUAGGAGGAACACCAGUGGCGAAAGCGGCUCUCUGGUCUGUAACUGACGCUGAGGUUCGAAAGCGUGGGUAGCAAACAGG
rnacentral:rRNA from 1 species